rnacentral:rRNA from 1 species
UGAGCAAUCUGCCCUUCUCAUCGGAAUAAGCGUUGGAAACGACGUCUAAUGCCGAAUACGACCUCCUUUCGCAUGAUCGGAGGUGGAAAGCUCCGGCGGAGAAGGAUGAGCUCGCGGCCUAUCAGCUAGUUGGUGUGGGUAAUGGCCCACCAAGGCGACGGACGGGUAGCCGGCCUGAGAGGGUGACCGGCCACACUGGGACUGAGACACGGCCCAGACUCCGUACGGGAGCAG